rnacentral:rRNA from 1 species
GAUGUCAGAAGGUGGGGAAUGUUGGAAAGUCUAUAAUCUAGUAUGAGAAAUUAAUGAUUUAAGUCCUUCUUAAAUGAGGCCAUUUACCCAUAGAGGGUGCCAGGCCCGUAUAACGUUAAUGAUUACUAGAAGAUGUUUCCAAAGAGUCGUGUUGCUUGAUAGUGCAGCACUAAGUGGGUGGUAAACUCCAUCUAAAACUAAAUAUAACCAUGAGACCGAUAGUAAACAAGUACCGUGAGGGAAAGUUGAAAAGAACUCUGAAUAGAGAGUUAAAUAGUACGUGAAACUGCUUAGAGGUUAAGCCCGAUGAACCUGAAUAUCCAUUAUGGAAAAUUCAUCAUUAUGUAUAUAAUAUUUAUAAUAUUGUAGAAAUAGUGUGCAUUUUUUCCAUAUAAGGACAUUGUAAUCUAUUAACAUAAUAAAUAUUUAUCAGAAGGUCAUUUGCUUAUGUUUAUUCAAAUUAAUUUGCUUGCAAGUUAACACAAAAUAAAUGCUUAUGAUUUGAUAAAGUGUUGAUAGAUUUAUUAUAUAUAGUGCUUAAAUACUUUUGUAUUUUACAAUCGUAUUAUUAUCUAAUGAUUUUAAUAUUUAUUGUAUGCGCUUAUAUGAUUAACAAUGCGAUAGAUUCAGGAUACCUUCGGGACCCGUCUUGAAACACGGACCAAGGAGUCUAACAUAUGUGCAAGUCAUUGGGAUUAUUUAUAUAAACCCAAAGGCGUAAUUAACUUAACUGUUUUUAAAUGGGAUUAGUUUUUAGUCUAUAUGUCUAUUAAUUCAAUCCCGGGGCGUUCUAUACAGUUAUGUAUAAUAAUAUUUAUAUUAUUUAUACCUCUAACUAGAGCGUACCUUUAGCAUAUAUGCUGUGACCGAAAAGAUGGUGAAAAAAAAAUGUGUGAAUGGGUAAAAUAUAUAAUAUAAUUAUUAAUUAUUUAUAUUUUAUAAAGAUUUAAUAAAUAUGUAUAAUAAUAUUAUUAUUUAUAAUAUA